CAGGCCGUGGUGGGCCGGAGCUGAAACAUUAACCAGGCCUUGGGCUUGCUGAGGACAAGCACAGUGGAUGGGUUGCUUCUUACCGAGUCUCAGCGCUGCCUGGGAGACGCUGGCGGACGCCAAUCACCACAGUGAAAUGCUGCAUGGCAAUACAAACGCAGCUUUUUUCCCCUUUUGGAGAUGAGCACGUGUCAAUUGAACAAAGGAUGAUAGGAAAGUUUUCUUCCAAAGAUGAGCAAAACAAGGAGCACACUCUGAACAAAGAUCCUCCCAUUCCAUGAAGCUUUGGCAGCUAUAAAACAUCACAGAGCAGCAGCUUCCCAGGGAUGCUUUGGGACUGAGCAACCUCUGGGUUCCCCAGCGGUGCUGAAGAACUCCAACAUUUCUCCGUUUUGAAUAGAGCUGGCAAAAUCCAUAAUUGCUUCCAUUCUGCUUGGCUGGAAAAUAGCAAAAGCCAGGCAUGCUGCCACGGGACUGCUGGGUGCAGAGUGGGUAUGACAGAGGGCUCUGCACCAAGGCUUACCCAACAGAAGUGAAGGCAUCCCACAGCUCAGCCUGGCUUUCAUGAAUCUUUUAAUAUAUAUAUAUAUUUUCCUUUUGUACGUGUAUUUUUUUCCUUCCCUCGAGUGGAGCAGCACCAGUGAGGUGAUGACUUACCUACUGCAGCCUGGGAGAUAGCAAUCUGGAAGGGAUGGUCAUCACACAAUGCCCGAGCAGAGCUUUUCUGGCCCAAAUUUCUCUGAUUACGUUGUUACCUGGUCGGUGAAGAGAACCGUGAAAAACACAAUUACCAGGAAGCCCUGCUCCUUUCCUUGUCUCUUUGUCUCACUGCAGAUUGGGCAUGUGACUCACAGGGAAAUAGAAGAGCUGCCAUUUUCAUUUGUGUGACCCAAAGGGGUGCUGCGUGCCAGUCACACCUAACUGUGGGAAAGCUCAGCCACUGGCUGACAAACCUGAUCACAUCGUGUUUGUAGCUGGCAUUUAGAUGCAUCUGAUGGACCAGAGCAUGGCAUGAAGAACAGGAAAACCUCCG
rnacentral:lncRNA from 1 species